ACGAACGCUGGCGGCGUGCUUAGCCCAUGCAAGUCGCACGGAAAGGCCCUGCUUUUGUGGGGUGCUCGAGUGGCGAACGGGUGAGUAACACGUGAGUAACCUGCCCUUGACUUUGGGAUAACUUCAGGAAACUGGGGCUAAUACCGGAUAGGAGCUCCUGCUGCAUGGUGGGGGUUGGAAAGUUUCGGCGGUUGGGGAUGGACUCGCGGCUUAUCAGCUUGUUGGUGGGGUAGUGGCUUACCAAGGCUUUGACGGGUAGCCGGCCUGAGAGGGUGACCGGCCACAUUGGGACUGAGAUACGGCCCAGACUCCUACGGGAGGCAGCAGUGGGGAAUAUUGCACAAUGGGCGGAAGCCUGAUGCAGCAACGCCGCGUGCGGGAUGACGGCCUUCGGGUUGUAAACCGCUUUCGCCUGUGACGAAGCGUGAGUGACGGUAAUGGGUAAAGAAGCACCGGCUAACUACGUG
rnacentral:rRNA from 1 species